CAGUUUCAGAGGUGCAGAUGUUCUUCACAGUUCAGCCUGCUGUUGGUACUCGCUUAAAGCAAAGAAGGCAGUAAUCCCUACAUCUCUUGAGGGCUCACUCCCAACACAACAGAUCUAGGGGGGAUCUUUUGUAGCAGAAAGACAGUAAUGAAGUUUCCCUACACUGGUAUAGCACAUUUUGAACAAUGCACCUCCCUCUUUCAUUGUCCUCAAUUUUCAUGUAGCUCAGCUGGUCAGUGGACACCAAUUUCUUUUUGCAAAUACCUCCUGUAAUCAUUUCCGUUCCUUUUCAGAAUCUGAGUGUGACAGUGCUCUAGACUGUACAGUGACUUUGUGAUGGGCCAGUAUACCUAAACUGAAGCUAUCCAUGCUUGCUUGCUUUAGCCAUAUAAUAGAUUUCGAAUUCUUGUCCUUGGUUUGGGGAAGCUAGCAUGCUAAACCUCUGUGUAGACACGAACACUUCUAUGCGCCACGCCUCACUUCUGCAUUCUCUUUCCACUGAGCAUAUGCUUCUCUGUCCAGCUUUGGCACCUGUUGCCAGAAAGACCUGCUUGUUGGAUGACAAGUUCUCCUUGGAGGAGGCCUGCAGCUGCAUAUUUUGCGGGGGAUGGCCUAGGGGCUAGGCAUGGAGUUGCUUUCCCACUUGUGUGUGCUGUCACUGUAGGCUGCUGAUGCUUUGGGUCCCUGCCCCCUCCACACUGCUGUGCUUGUCCCUACCCAUCGCCUGGUGGCUUUUGUGUGGGGUUUGAAAAGCUGUGAUUAACUGUGCUUUGCCUGUUAUUACAUUGAUCUAUUAUUUAAGGAGAGAGGAGAUGAAUAUUUGAUAGAGCUCAGAGCCUGGCUGGGGAAAGAAGGCCAGAACACUGAAGGGAAGAAUUAUGGAUUAAGUACUCUUUCCACAGCAGGAGUCCUCUGGAGUUGGGUAAACCCUCUCCUCCGGCUCUUUUCCUUUGGGGUUGGGGACAAUGUUCAGAGCUUUGUUUUGCUUCACUUUUUAACUUUUGCUUUUUUUCCGGGGUGGGGGCGGGAAGCACAAGGCUUUCUGACCUUCUAGCUUAUAGUCUGAGUCACUUAACUUAAUUAUUACAUGACUUGCAACCCACGUCUUGCAAAAGGGAGCAAUAAUGCGAAUUUUUAUUCCAGAGUUGUCCUAUAGCACUGUAAGGUAGUUGCAAGGAACAGAAAGAUGCCCCAUUACAAUUUAUUUGGAGUGUAUUUUUAGCUUCAGGGAAUCGAAUCUCAUUAAUUGAAAACUUCUCUGCCACCCCAGGAUAGGAACAUUUCACUGUUUAUAAAAAGGAAGGGGGUGGGCUUCUUGUGGUAGAGGGAGGAUUAGCAGUUCUUUUUUCUAUCCUUUCUUGUGUAUAAACAUAUUUUUUUUAGUAUUUAUGAUAUUGCAUUCUUUAUUUGUUCUGCAACAUCAAACAGAUGGCUAUAGAAAGAUGUAAUGGAAUCCUUCAAAAGAACCCAUCAUUUUCUAUGGUUGCUCAUUUGGCAUCUUCAAUAUCAUUUAAAUACAAAGAAAAGUGUUCAUAAAAAGAAUUCUUCUGGAUCAGAUCAAGAAUUCCUGAUGCUGGAAGCAGAGUUCUGUGGACCUGCAAAAUAAGAGCAACAGGGGACCAAUCUGAGAUCCUCAACUUGUCAAGGAUAGGACUUUAAGAAUGGGACAGAUGGAGAAAUAAGCAGCAUGAUGAGAAUGGCAUGUGUCAUAUGAGAGUUCUCAUACCUAGAUCUUACUAUGGCACCUGGAUCACCAGUGCAGUACUUGUGGGUUGUCUGAGACCUGAGAGGAGGAGGUCCCCAACACAUACAAGAAUCAAAUCCUACAACUCUAGAACGCACUCCAUUCAAGGAAUCUGAAGAAUUGGGGAAUCCAAGCUACACAGUGAUGGGAAGGAGACACAGUGGGGCUGUUACUGAAAUCCAUUGCUUUGAUUCUUCUAGAGAGCACAUUUUGCAGUUGUAUGGUGACCCAUAGCAAACCAAGUGCUUGAGCCUUUGGUGACUAGACUGCCUGUCUGCUUGCCCCAUGCCCUUUCUGUAUGGUUGGGGCACAUCUCAGCUGUGUCCAGACAGAGCAGAUCCCUCCUUAAAAUGGAUAUGUCUACCAGAAUGGCCAGGUCUGUCAAGUGUGGCUGUUCAAACAUGAUGGAAAGUGACAGAGCAGUAUAAAAAUGCUUGGCUAAAAGGAAACAUGAAUGUCUUUACUGUCACCCUCAAUGCAAAACAAAGGGAUGAGGCUGCUGGGGAUUUCUGAAUGAUGGAGUUGUCUUAAGAUUGUUGGAUCAGAGUGGUGGAGCCUGAAACCAUGGUUAAACUUUAUUAUGGCUUUUAACUUUAAAGGCAUGCUCAAUUUUUUCUUUACAUUGCACUGUCUUAUGUCUGGUUUCACUACAGCUUUGUGUAUCAAAUUAAAUGAGUUAAAAGA